UUGCUACUCCCUUCGUUCGGAAUUACUCGUCCAAGAAAUGAAUGUAUCUAGAUGUAUUUUAGUUAUAGAUACAUCCAUUUUUAUUCAUUUUUGUGACAAAUAAUUCCAAACGGAGGGAGUAGCUG
rfam:Triticum aestivum genome assembly, contig: Triticum_aestivum_CS42_TGACv1_scaffold_030328_1BL